rnacentral:lncRNA from 10 species
CUCCUGAGAGGUGCCUUGAGAAACAGACACAAUGGAGCUUCUCUAUUCCAUUGGCUUCAAGUCAGGCCAGUGUUCUUCCCUGGGGCAGAGCCCUCUCCUCCCUCCUCCUCGCCACGUGCUCCCAGCCCUCAUCUCCACUGAGCACAGAUGAAUCCUUUCAUAGUGAUCUAGCAUCCAUGUUCUUUCUGUAUGCUGCAGGGAAUGAUGGAGAACUUUGAAGUGGCGGGGUUACUUUGUUAGGUUUUCAGAUCAAGAAGAGUUGUCCCUGAUGCAGAUGAUGAGAUCAUGGACUUCAAGCCUGAGAUGCUGGAGGGAUUGUUUUACAUGUGGCGGAGACAUUCCAUGGGGGCCUGAAGAUGGACUGUGGGAGAUUGUCAUAGUCCUACUUCUAGGGGCCACACUCUUGGGAGUCCUCGCCAACAGUGAGUUUGAAUUCGGCCAUGUCAUUGACCUUGUUCACUGAGACAUCCCGUAAAUGUGCCACGAACAGGAUUGAUGAAUAUUUGCAAAGUGAGACUUGCCCUCUUGAAACCCAAUGACCACAUAAAGAAGUCUGGACUGUCUCUCUGGAAAGGAGGAGAGUCGAGGUGAUGCAUGUCAGAGUCCCGUCCCUGACGAAGCAGGAGACACAACCAGCAGACUCUGCCACAGUCUUCGCGUAUAUAUCCCAUGUGACGCCUGUAUCCUCAGUCCUUGGAAAGAAUCAGCCAGGUGUCCUGGAGGGCCUGAGAGGGACCAGGGUGAUGAUGGGAUCCGGAGAAGAAAGUCAGAUUGGAGCAUGUGUUUCUGAUGUGGCCCCGUUACACUCCCUGAGGUAUGUCCAAGCACAGAGAGUGUCUUCCUGCAUCAGCUACCACCAGAGUCUCUACAGCCACAUCUCUCAGAGCCGCAGUCACUUCACUGAUAAACUUCAGGGGGCUGAACUGGAUACUCUUUUAAGGUGCUUUUCAAUUCCUCUAUCAAUCAUUCCAAGACACAAUUAUGUUGGAAUUAUUUUCCUGCAAGUUUCAUAAUCAAAAUUUGCUCCUUUUAGACUCUCAUUAUUUAACUAUCAACAGAUCAUCCACAAUGGUCUCAGUCCACUUGAGCCCAGAAUUUCUUUUACCAAUAUUUGCCUUGGGAUAAAGGACCUUUUCCAUUUCUAAAAUAGCCUUAGGACCCCAAUGACACUUGGAGAGGCACCCAAGUAGCCAGCCAACCUCCUUAUUUAGGGUACAAUAGUGGGAUCUUGUUGAAAGUAUCUCUGCUCAAAUUUAAUAGGAUGAUUUCGUGUUGCCUUUAUUUUUUUCUUCAUCUAUUUCUUCUUGCAGAAAAUGUUAACUUCCUUCUCUGGUCCACUGUAAACAUUAUGUUAAGAAAUGUUGUUUGAUGAGUGACCAGGUAUGGGAAUGAGAGAUGGAUUUUAUGGUCAAUAGUAACUCACAUAGUAAAAGUCACACUCCAGCCAAGAAGAGAGAAAUGACUGUAUUUGAAAGAAAGACAGUUUCCUACAGGGAAGCUGUUUUAGAGGCGACGGAAAGCUAAGAAACCAAAAGGUGCCGAUAGGUUCCCUAGCAGUUAGUAACAGUAGAAAGCUUGGGUUGGAGGGAUGGAGUAAGGAGGUAUUGGUUCAAAGCCUGAGGCUUGGCCACGGAGAAAGCACUGCUGUUGAAUUCCACAUACAGCGACUAUUUUCUGCUGGUCAACGGAGCCAGAGGCCAGCUGAGAGAGGGGAACUGUGGAGAUGCAGCUGUAGGGACCAGUUGCCCCAUGAUAUAGACCAGAGCAGGGAAAACAUUAGGAAUGGGUGCAGAGCAAAUGUGUCCAGGGCCAUGAGAUGCAUAAAUACAUUACCCUGGUUUGGAAAUGAUUGCUUCUCAUUUCAGUGAAAUGGUGACAAUUUCAGUGUGGUAGAGAAAAAUAACUCCUUAAAACACCUUAAAAGGAAUUUUAUAGAUGAAUUAACUGAGACUUGAGGAAUCAGGAUCCUGGUUAAAAACCUCUACGUGACUUUUCAGACCCAGCCGUAGGCAAUGGCAGACGUCUGUCUGGCAGAGCUGCUGGGGAAUCUGCCCUCCUCACAUCGGGCUUGGUGUGUGGCUCGUGUAUUGCGGUCUCUGGAAGGAGCUGUGGUCAAGGACUCAGGCCCCCUGGCCACCUGCUCUUUGCGUAUUUGCAGUCCU